rnacentral:misc_RNA from 1 species
GAUGAAGAACGCAGCGAAACGCGAUAUGUAAUGUGAAUUGCAGAAUUCAUUGAAUCAUCGAAUCUUUGAACGCACAUGGCGCCUUCCAGUAUCCUGGGAGGCAUGCCUGUCCGAGCGUCGUUUCAACCCUCGAGCCCUCGUGGCCCGGCGUUGGGGAUCUGCCACGGCAGGCCCCGAAAUACAGUGGCGGACCCGUUAGGCCCUUCCUUUGCGUAGUAGCAUCAGCCUCGCAUCGGGAGCCGGCGGGCUCUCCUGCCUCUAAACCCCCCAACAAGCCCGCUCCGGCGGCACCAAGGUUGACCUCGGAUCAGGUAGGAAUACCCGCUGAACUUAAGCAUAUCAAUAAGCGGAGGA